rnacentral:rRNA from 1 species
AGUGAAGCGGGAAAAGCUCAAAUUUGAAAUCUCCAGGGGCAGCCUUGGCGAAUUGUAGUUUAGAGAAGCGUUUGUUGGGUCCAGACUCGGUCUAAGUGCUCUGGAACGAGCCACCAAAGAGGGUGAGAGUCCCGUGUUUUUUUCUGKCCGAGAGCAAACUUGGAUCCUCUACAAGACGUUUUCAACGAGUCGGGUUGUUUGGGAAUGCAGCCCAAAAUGGGUGGUAAAUUUCAUCUAAAGCUAAAUAUUGACACGAGACCGAUAGCGAACAAGUACCGUGAGGGAAAGAUGAAAAGCACUUUGAAAAGAGAGUCAAAAGCACGUGAAGCCGUUAAAAUGGAAACGAUUAAAGUCAGCAGUGCUUGGCGGGCAAUCAAUCUUUAGUUCUGUUUGCGGCGGUUUGCUGGUGAGGUGUGAUGAACAUCCACAACGGUAGGCUGUGUCCAUGCGGGCAGUAAUUUCUCUAGGGGUGCUCGUGUGCCACUUUUUUGANCGGGCCAACAUCAUUUUGUGCUUUUUUUGUGGGGAAAGAUUGCCGGGAAGGUGACUUGUGGCCGUUAAAAGCCAAAAAGGCUUCAGCCCCAGUUUGCAGUUGAGACACAAAACAGAAUGCGGAAACGGCGCAUGCCUACAAGGCUAGCAGGCAUCUCCAUCUGGCAUUUCCUUCUUUGCUGGGCUAACAGCGUCAAAAACUGUGGCUCGGUGUCGGCUUGAGUGUCAGCGGUUGGGGAGUCGAGCUUAAAGUGUGCUUGGGAUGUUGGCGAAAUGGCUUUAACCGACCCGUCUUGAAACACGGACCAAGGAGUCUAACAUAUGCGCAAGUCUUUGGGUGGCAAACCCAACUUUUAGAAGGCGAAAUGAAAGUAAAGGCAGUCAUUGGGGCUGCUGAGGUGAGAGCGGGGCGCCCACAAAGGUGCUCCUGCGCAUCAUCGACCGAUCUGGAUUAUUCUUUGAAAGAUUUGAGUAAGAGCGUAUCUGUUAGGACCCGAAAGAUGGUGAACUAUGCCUGAAUAGGGCGAAGCCAGAGGAAACUCUGGUGGAGGCUCGUAGAGGUUCUGACGUGCAAAUCGAUCUUCAAAUUUGGGUAUAGGGGCGAAAGACUAAUCGAACUAUCUAGUAGCUGGUUCCCACCGAAGUUUCCCUCAGGAUAGCUGGAGCUUGGAAAUUACACAGUUUUAUCGGGUAAAGCGAAUGAUUAGAGGCUGCUUGGAUGAAACAUCCUCGCCCUAUCCCCUAUAGGGGGUAGGUAAGAGGUCUGGCUUGCUUAACUGAAGUCAGACGUUGAAUGUGGAGCUCCUAGUGGGCCAUUUUUGGUAAGAGAUCAGAGUUUUUUCAUUUCUGUUUGCCAAAGAUAGGAGAGCAUGCCUGCCCUUUUGGGGGUUUAGGGUGUGUUAUGUCUCCUAGUUGACUUGCUUAAUCCGACCUGGGACUAAUAGCGCGAGAAUGGCAGGUUUUGAUGCAGUUGUUCUCAAACGAGUCCUUUUUUGCAGGGGUUGGGAAGAUGCACGCAAAAGUGUGUGUAUUUGUGCAGGCAGCAACACGACCUGGUUCGAGGGAUCUCCGACACUGUUGUUGAUGUGCGUUUGGGUGUCACUCACUCACUCACACACAAUCACAGACAAGGACAAUCUCGAUGUGAGACAGUCUCGCUGGCUGUCCGCGGUAACGUGCGGUAAGGCGUGGGUGAAGAAAGACAGACAGACAUUGUGUGUAAAAAGACACACAAAAAACCACUGCUUUCUUUGCUUAAGGAACGUACUGGCCCCGGUGAGAGCCGGCCAACAGGAUGAGUGCUGCAAUCACAAGGCCUGUUUGGGGAGGCAUCACACACACUGCUGUGUGUGCAAAAAAAAGCCUCUGGAUGACCCGAAGCAGAACUGGCGAUGCGGGAUGAACCGAACGUAGAGUUAAGGUGCCUAAAUCGACGCUCAUCAGACCCCACAAAAGGUGUUGGUUGAUCUAGACAGCAGGACGGUGGCCAUGGAAGUCGGAACCCGCUAAGGAGUGUGUAACAACUCACCUGCCGAAUCAACUAGCCCUGAAAAUGGAUGGCGCUAAAGCGUCGUACCUAUACUCUACCGCCGAAUGGCAAUUGCGACGCCACGGCGAGUAGGUGGGCGCGGAGGUGGUGGCGAAGCCUAGGGCGUGAGCCUGGGUGGAACUGCCUUUGGUGCAGAUCUUGGUGGUAGUAGCAAAUAUUCAAAUGAGAACUUUGAAGACUGAAGUGGAGCAAGGUUCCAUGUGAACAGCAGUUGGACAUGGGUUAGUCGAUCCUAAGAGAUGGGGAAAUUCCGUUUGAAAGUUGUGCGGCUUUUGGCUUGGUUUUGGUGUUGGGGUGGGGGGGCAACUUCUCACUUUGUUGCCGAGAUCAUGGCCAGAUAUACACAAAAUCGCACCGCCUCAAUCGAAAGGGAAUCAGAUUAAUAUUUCUGAACCAGAAUGCGGAUAUAUGAGGCAAAGGGAGAGGGUCAAACCUUUCUGUUGUUUCAAGGCAUGUGUG